GUGUGUGUGUGUGUGUGUGCACUAGGGUUGCAAAAAAGGUGGAAUAUUUCCAGUAAAUUUCAGAAACAUUCCAGGAUUUUU